CCUACGGGUCGCUGCAGUGGGGAAUAUUGGACAAUGGGCGAAAGCCUGAUCCAGCCAUGCCGCGUGUGUGAAGAAGGCCUUCGGGUUGUAAAGCACUUUCAGUGGGGAAGAAAGCCUUGGGGCUAAUACCCUCGAGGAAGGACAUCACCCACAGAAGAAGCACCGGCUAACUCCGUGCCAGCAGCCGCGGUAAUACGGAGGGUGCGAGCGUUAAUCGGAAUUACUGGGCGUAAAGCGCGCGUAGGCGGUCUGAUAAGCCGGUUGUGAAAGCCCCGGGCUCAACCUGGGAACGGCAUCCGGAACUGUCAGGCUAGAGUGCAGGAGAGGAAGGUAGAAUUCCCGGUGUAGCGGUGAAAUGCGUAGAGAUCGGGAGGAAUGCCAGUGGCGAAGGAGGCCUUCUGGACUGACACUGACGCUGAGGUGCGAAAGCGUGGGUAGCAAACAGGAUUAGAUACCCCGGUAGUC
rnacentral:rRNA from 1 species